rnacentral:lncRNA from 10 species
UUAUGUAAUAUGCCUCAGGCAGUGGCAGAAACCUAGGCUGAAAUAACCAGCACUACUUGCCAAACACUUUAGAAAGAUUAUGUUUCUUCUCCAUUACAGAAGUGGAACAUAUGGUUCAGGAAUUUACCCUAAAGGCAAACUACAGAGGUUAAGCAUGUGAUGCAGGGGCCAAAAUUGUGAGUUCAAAUGCCAACAUGUUUACUUACUAACUUCAUGACCUCACAAACUUGCUUCAACUUUCUGUAACUUUGUCUGCUUAUCUAUAAAACAAUACGUACCUCAACGUCUGGUUAAAAGUUUCAAUUGGCAUAAUAUAUAUAAAGCUCUUAGAAGACUGCCUGGAACAGGUUGCAGCAAGAUCCUCCCAGGAAAGUGAAGCGGAGAAAAUGGAGGUAGAAACUGUUCUCCUCAUUAAACUACCUGCCCUCUGUAAUGUAGCUCUUCUGUGCUGCAGAAAUUGAUACUACACAAGAAAAGAAAUGAUGGGAGAAUAGUGAAGAAGAGAAGAACUGGCCAGGUAGCAACAUAUAAGAGGCCAAGGGCCGGGCGCAGUGGCUCACACCUGUAAUCCAAACACUUUGGGAGGCCAAGGCGGGCAGAUCACCUGAGGUUGGGAGUUUGAGACCAGCCUGACCAACAUGGGGAAACCCCAUCUCUACCAAAAAUACAAAAUUAGCCAGGCGUGGUGGUGCAUGCCUGUAAUCCCAGCUACUCAGGAGGUUGAGGCAGGAGAAUCACUUGAACCCAGGAGGCAGAGACUGCAGUGAGCCGAGAUUGCGCCAUUGCACUCCAGCCUGGGUAACAAGAGUGAAACUCCGUCUCAAAAAAAAAAUAUACAAAAAUAAGACAUUUAUCCAUAGUCAUUUAAGGCAGAGACUCGUUUCCAUUCUUAUUCCCUUUUCAUCAGGUUUCUUUCAUGUCAGAUGGAUUGGAAUGGGACAAGGCACUUUUCAGAUUCAGCUAUGGGGGAAACAAAAGACAGAAGACAAAAGUUCUCACUUCUCAAAGUGUCUUUUAAAAUCAAAAUAAAAAUUAUAAAUAUUACAAUAAUACAUCCAUGCUAGAUUAUAUUUGUCUUUAUAUCAAUGUAGAUGUAAAAUGUAAUUUAAAAUAUUUUUUCAUGGCUGAAGAGGCCCAGGAAAGUCAUAUUGUGGACACGUGAAAAGCACAAUGAAUGAGUAUGGGUAUAUUAGAAGGUGAGAAGCUCUGUGGAGGAAGAAAAGGAAGUGUGAUAAACUGUCGGGAAAAGGAAAACACUAUGUGGAAGCAAGACACACAGGGAAAACAUCCUGUGAUGACAAAGGCAGAGAUUCGAGUGCUGCAGCUGCAAGCAAAGGCACACCAGGGAUUGAAGGCCAUCACCAGAAGCUGGGAAGAGACAAGGAGGGAUUGGAACAUGGCCCUGCUGUCACCUUGAUUUUGAACAUCU